ACGCGUCCCGACGCACAUCCCCCCCGGCGCCGGGACCUUCCCAGAGCCGGGCUCCGGCGACCCUCCCCCCGGGUCCCGGGGCCCGGCUCUCUU
rnacentral:ncRNA from 1 species